rnacentral:tRNA from 1 species
GUCCCCUUAGUGAAACGGAUAUAACAAGCCCCUCCUAAGGGCUAGUUGCAGGUUCGAUUCCUGCAGGGGACGCCA